UACGAAGGGGGCUAGCGUUGCUCGGAAUCACUGGGCGUAAAGCGCACGUAGGCGGAUUGCUAAGUCAGGGGUGAAAUCCUGGAGCUCAACUCCAGAACUGCCUUUGAUACUGGCGAUCUUGAGUCCGGGAGAGGUGAGUGGAACUGCGAGUGUAGAGGUGAAAUGCGUAGAUAUCGGGAGGAACACCUGUGGCGAAAGCGGCUCACUGGACCACAACUGACGCUGAGGCGCGAAAGCGUGGGGAGCAAACAGG
rnacentral:rRNA from 1 species